rnacentral:rRNA from 1 species
UACGUAGGGGGCAAGCGUUGUCCGGAUUUACUGGGCGUAAAGCGCGUGUAGGUGGGAGGGCAAGUCCGGUGGGAAAGCCCGCGGCUCAACCGCGGAAGGUCGCUGGAAACUGUGCUUCUUGAGGGUGAUAGAGGGAAGUGGAAUUGCUGGUGUAGCGGUGAAAUGCGUAGAUAUCGAGAGGAACACCUGCGGCGAAGGCGGGUUGCUGGGCCGACACUGACGCUGAUGCGCGAAAGCCAGGGGAGCGAACGGG